AACGGCAUGGGAGGGCCGGCCGCAGCGGGUGACAGCCCCGUACGCGAACCCAGACCGGACGGCGCGACGCGGUCCCUGAGUAGGGCCGGGCACGUGAAACCCGGUCCGAACCUGGGUGGACCACCAUCCAAGCCUGAGUACUACCCUGUGACCGAUAGCGCACCAGUACCGUGAGGGAAAGGUGAAAAGCACCCCGGGAGGGGAGUGAAACAGUACCUGAAACCGUGCGCCCACGAGCAGUCGGAGCAACUUUCAGUUGUGACGGCGUGCCUUUUGUAGAAUGAGCCAGCGAGUCGCUGGCGCGGGGCGAGGUUAACCGAAAGGGAGCCGGAGCGAAAGCGAGCCUUAACAGGGCGACUUGAGUCCCGCGCCGCGGACGCGAAGCCGGGUGAGCUAUCCGUGGGCAGGCUGAAGCGGGGGUAAGACCCCGUGGAGGGCCGAACGCACGUCGGUUGAAAACGGCGGCGAUGACCUGCGGAUAGGGGUGAAAGGCCAAUCAAACCCGGAGAUAUCUCGUUCUCCCCGAAAUAGCUUUAGGGCUAGCGUCGCGCGUUCACCGCCGGAGGUAGAGCACCGGAUGGACGAGGGGGCUUCGCCGCCUACCGAAUCCAACCGAACUCCGAAUGCCGGCGGCCCAGAGCGCGGCAGUCAGAGCAUGUGGGCUAAGCUGUGUGCUCGAGAGGGAAACAGCCCGGACCGCCCGCUAAGGUCCCCAAGUUCCAGCCGAGUGGCAAAGGAUGUGCGUCCGCCCAGACAACCAGGAUGUUGGCUUAGAAGCAGCCAUACAUUCAAAGAGUGCGUAACAGCUCACUGGUCGAGUGGACAUGCGCCGACAAUACACGGGGCUAAGCUGGACACCGAAGCGGCGGGAUUUUAAUUCAUUAGAAUCGGUAGGGGAGCUUCCCAUGGGCGGAGAAGCCGGAGGGCGACCGACGGUGGAGCGCAUGGGAGUGAGAAUGCUGGCAUGAGUAGCGAGAGACGAGAGAGUAACUCGUCCGCCGUGAACCCGAGGUUUCCUGGGCAAGGCUAAUCCUCCCAGGGUCAGUCGGGGGCUAAGGCGAGGCCGGUAGGCGUAGCCGACGCGCAGCAGGCAGACAUUCCUGCACCGCGCACGCGGCGCUACGACCGACGGGGCGACGGAUGGGGGUGGCUCGGCGGGGUUCUGGACGUCCCCGUGAUGGAGCGCGGCCCGCGGACCAGGGAAAUCCGGUCCGCAUCAAGGGCGAGGCUCCGGACGAAGCACUUAAGCGAAGCGAGUGAGCCCGAGGUCCCUAGAAAAACCCCUAGGCAGGCGCGUGCGCGCCCGUACCGCAAACCGACACAGGUGGGUGGGUAGAACAUACCGAGGCGAUCGGGUCAACCAUGGUCAAGGAACUCGGCACAAUGGCCCCGUAACUUCGGGAGAAGGGGUGCCCGCGCGUACGUGAACCGGCUUGCCCGGGGAGCGGAGGCGGGCCGCAGUGGAGAGGCCCAAGCGACUGUUUACCAAAAACACAGGACUCUGCAGAAGCCGCAAGGCGACGUAUAGGGUCUGACGCCUGCCCGGUGCCGGAAGGUCACGCGGAGGAGUUAGCCGUUAAGGCGAAGCCCCGAAGCCAAGCCCCGGUAAACGGCGGCCGUAACUAUAACGGUCCUAAGGUAGCGAAAUUCCUUGUCGGGUAAGUUCCGACCUGCACGAAAGGCGCAACGACUUGGGCGCUGUCUCGACCAUGGACCCGGUGAAAUUGCACUGGUCGUGAAGAUGCGACUUACCCGCGGAAGGACGGAAAGACCCCGUGAACCUUCACUGCAGCUUGGCAUUGGCCGCUGGUCCCGCGUGUAGAGGAUAGGCAGGAGGCAUCGAUCCGGAGGCGCCAGCCCCCGGGGAGCCGCCCUUGGAAUACUGCCCUCGCGCGACCGGCGUCCUAACCCGAGGCCGUCAACCGGCUCGGGGACCGUGCCAGGCGGGCAGUUUGACUGGGGCGGUCGCCUCCUAAAGGGUAACGGAGGCGCGCGAAGGUCCGCUCGGGACGGUCGGCAACCGUCCUUUUGAAUGCAAGAGUACAAGCGGGCUUGACUGCGAGGCCCACAAGCCGAGCAGGUGCGAAAGCAGGCUCUAGUGAUCCGGCGGCCCCGAGUGGGUGGGCCGUCGCUCAACGGAUAAAAGGUACUCCGGGGAUAACAGG
rnacentral:rRNA from 1 species